AUUAAACGCUGGCGGCAUGCCUAACACAUGCAAGUCGAACGGUAACGCGGGGGCAACCCUGGCGACGAGUGGCGGACGGGUGAGGAAUACGUAGGAAUCUGCCCAUUUGUGGGGGAUAACCCGGCGAAAGCCGGGCUAAUACCGCAUAAGCUCUACGGAGGAAAGCGGGGGAUCGCAAGACCUCGCGCUAAUGGAUGAGCCUACGUCGGAUUAGCUAGUUGGGAGGGUAACGGCCUAGCAAGGCGACGAUCCGUAGCUGGUCUGAGAGGACGAUCAGCCACACUGGGACUGAGACACGGCCCAGACUCCUACGGGAGGCAGCAGUGGGGAAUAUUGGACAAUGGGGGCAACCCUGAUCCAGCAAUGCCGCGUGAGUGAAGAAGGCCUUCGGGUUGUAAAGCUCUUUUGUCAGGGAAGAAACGGUAGUAGCGAAUAACUAUUACUAAUGACGGUACCUGAAGAAUGAGCACCGGCUAACUACGUGCCAGCCGCCGCCGUAAUAC
rnacentral:rRNA from 1 species